rnacentral:rRNA from 1 species
UACAGAGGGGGCAAGCGUUGUUCGGAAUUACUGGGCGUAAAGGGCGCGUAGGCGCCUUCUAAGUCGAACGUGAAAUCCCCGGGCUCAACCCGGGAACUGCGUCCGAUACUGGAAGGCUUGAAUCCGGGAGAGGGAUGUGGAAUUCCAGGUGUAGCGGUGAAAUGCGUAGAUAUCUGGAGGAACACCGGUGGCGAAGGCGACAUCCUGGACCGGUAUUGACGCUGAGGCGCGAAAGCCAGGGG